UUUUAGCUUCUACAUGUGAGGCUGCUACCUUGGUUAUUCCAUUAUGAGUGAUGAUCAGCUUAAAGGGGAAUCCCCAUUUGUAUUUUAUCCCUGCAUUGCGAAGUAAUGUGGUGUAUGCUUUGAAUUCACAACGUCGCUGCAAGAUCCCAUGAGAAAGGUCUUGGAAGAUAGCUAUAAUAGAGUCCUCAUGUUCUAUUUUUUCCAGUUUUCUGAAACGUUGCAUUAAAUCAUUUUUCACCAAGAACGUGUUAAAGCGGACAAUCACAUCUCUGGGGGGUUCCCGUUUUUUAGGUUUUGGUCUCAGGGCUCUGUGUAUGCGUUCUAUAUUUUCUGCGCUGAUUUUGCAGUCAGGAAAUAAUUCUUGAAUCCACAUGAGGAAGGCCACUUUUAGAUCUGAGUCUCCAAAAUUUUCAGUGUGUAGCCUGUUUAGCCCAAUAACUUCACGGGGAAAGUCAACAUGCCGAACUGGGAAGGAGGCAGAGUGGCAGAGAGCAGACCUUGUAAAUCAACAGGCUCAGGUGUGAACAGAAGAUCAAGCAUGUAACCAUGAGCUAACUUUCAUCUUGUGUUUGCCCAGCUUAUCGAACCACCAAAGCUUCUCACAGGACAGAGUUACCAUGUUUUAGCAAGAGGCAUUAUUUUGAACCUCACUGAACUUCUUUUCAGAAAUUCAAUAAUUCUCCAGGAGUGAUAAUAACUCUUGAAAAUCAAACUAAUUUGUAAAUGCAAUUUGUAAAUAAAAGCCAAACUAAUUUGUAAAUGCAAAAUAUUUUUGGACUUUUGCACAUGUAGGAGAUUGAUUAUUAGUUCAUGAAGGCUCUAAGGGACCGUACACAUUUUUGUUUGUCCUGUUAUUUCAAGUUUUGGGCCUAAGAGGGUUUGGGGGGGGGGGUUGUCCCACUGCUUUCUCUCAGGGAAAUCCAUUGUUUACUGCUUAAUCAGAAUAAACAUAAAUCCGCAGAAAACCUGAUUGACAUUUGUUCUGAUUCAGCGGUUAACAAGUUUUUACGGGGAAAGUGUUGGAACAAAAAAAGCCCUUCUCAGGCAUGUGACUUGAAAUCAUGGGGCAACCAGACAUAUGUGUGGGCCCCAAGUCUCCUUGCAUGCCUGUCUCACAGUUAUUGAAUUCAGCCAAUUUUAGACAGAAAUUUCAAACAGCUAAUGCAGAAAAAAAAUAAUUGCUGGAACAUUGCUGAGAUAAGACUUGAGAACGUGGCCAGGGUCUCUACCAGUGUGACAUGUGACGCUGCACUGCCCCCACACUGUGGCGGGAGUCUAGGCGGCCUGUCCGCAACCCAGCCCCACCCGGAAGUGAAGCCGAUUUUCUGGGUGUAAGUUUUGGGAGCACUUGCAGUUGACUGUUAACAUGACUUUAACCUUGUAUUAUAAUUCCAGAAGAUCUGUGUUUCCUUCCCAUGAUAUCCUGUAUCGUGGGUAACGAACUGAAUGUAGUCAGAUCCUUACUCUUCAAGUGCCGAAACUUAGAGCUACAGUAUAUUCAGAAGUACAAAUGAACAUUUCUUGCCUUCUAGUCUCCAAUGUAAUUAGCACCACUGAUUAUUUUCAUGAGGGACUCUCUGUUCUUGUCAAAAUCUUUACCAUAACAACUUCUGAAUUAUAAUACAGCUGUAACUGCCUGUACUACCGUGUUCAGUGGAGGAAGAAAUGCAGAAGGAACAUCUCAAAAAUGAAAUUAAUUAAACUGGCUAAUGUUCUCAAAGUUCUCUGAAGAUGAAAAGCUCUACAGUAGUUUCAAAUUAUGAUAAUUAAAUCACCAAAACGCUGUACUUGAGAUUUUACUCAGUGAACCUCACAAUAACUGUAUAAGAUGGGUCAGUAACUGAUGAGGAAGCUAAACAUGAGAAUAAGGCUUAUUUAGGACUCCUUAGAAUAAUAGCCGUUAUGCAUGCAGGCACUGUAAGCGGAAGCCAGGCUGCAUGCAUG